CCUACGGGAGGCAGCAGUGGGGAAUAUUGGGCAAUGGGCGCUAGCCUGACCCAGCAACGCCGCGUGAAGGAAGACUGCUUUCUGGUUUUAAACUUCUUUUAUUGUGGGCGAAACAUAUGACGGUUCUCCUUCACUACACCACGGCUAACUACGUGCCAGCAGCCGCGGUACUACGGAGGUGGCAAUCUUUAUCCGGAUUUACGGGGUUUAAGGGGCGUGUAGGCGGGAAUGCAAGUCAGAUGUGAACGCCAUCGGCUCAACCCAUGGAUUGCAUUUGAAACUGGAGUUCUUGAGUGAAGGAGAGGCAGGCGGAAUUCGGGGUGUAGCGGUGAAAUGCGUAGAUAUACGGAGGAACACCAGUGGCGAAGGCAGCCUGCUGGACAGUAACUGACGCUGAGGCGCGAAAGCGUGGGGAGCAAACAGGAUUAGAUACCCUGGUAGUC
rnacentral:rRNA from 1 species